ACGGGAUUAGAUACCCCGGUAGUCCACGCCGUAAACGAUGUCUACUUAGGUUGUGACGGUUCUGACGCCGGCACAGCCGAAUGCAAUAGUGUUAAGUAGACCGCCUGGGGAGUACGGUCGCAAGGCUUAACCUCGAAGGAAUUUGACGGGGGCUCACACAAGCGGUGGAGCAUGUGGAUUAAUUCGAAGCAACGCGCAGAACCUUACCUGGGUUUGACAUGCUUGGAUGCCGCCCUGGAAAUAGGGUUGGCUGCCUUCGGGUGAAACUUGCACAGGUGCUGCAUGGCUGUCGUCAGCUCGUGUCGUGAGAUGUCGGGUUAAGUCCUUUAACGAGCGAAACCCUUACCGUUAGUUGCCAGCGGGUCAGGCCGGGGACUCUAACGGGACUGCCGGUGUUAAACCGGAGGAAGGUGGGGAUGACGUCAAGUCAUCAUGGCCUUUAUGCCCAGGGCCUCACACGUGCUACAAUGGUCGGGACAGAGCGACGCGAGACCGUGAGGUGGAGCCAAUCGCAAAAACCCGGCCCCAGUUCGGAUUGCAGGCUGGCAACUCGCCUGCAUGAAGGUGGAAUCGCUAGUAAUCGCGUAUCAGCUAUCACGCGCUGAAUGUGUUCCUGAGCAUUGUACACACCGCCCGUCAAGUGAUGGGAGUUGGGAGUACCCGAAGUCGGGUUGCUAACCCUUNCGGGGAGGCGCCUGCCGACGGUAAGC
rnacentral:rRNA from 1 species